AUUGAACGCUGGCGGCAGGCUUAACACAUGCAAGUCGAGCGGGGGAAGGUAGCUUGCUACCGGACCUAGCGGCGGACGGGUGAGUAAUGCUUAGGAAUCUGCCUAUUAGUGGGGGACAACAUCUCGAAAGGGAUGCUAAUACCGCAUACGUCCUACGGGAGAAAGCAGGGGAUCUUCGGACCUUGCGCUAAUAGAUGAGCCUAAGUCGGAUUAGCUAGUUGGUGGGGUAAGGGCCUACCAAGGCGACGAUCUGUAGCGGGUCUGAGAGGAUGAUCCGCCACACUGGGACUGAGACACGGCCCAGACUCCUACGGGAGGCAGCAGUGGGGAAUAUUGGACAAUGGGGGGAACCCUGAUCCAGCCAUGCCGCGUGUGUGAAGAAGGCCUUAUGGUUGUAAAGCACUUUAAGCGAGGAGGAGGCUACUUUAGUUAAUACCUAGAGAUAGUGGACGUUACUCGCAGAAUAAGCACCGGCUAACUCUGUGCCAGCAGCCGCCGCAGUAA
rnacentral:rRNA from 1 species